CCUACGGGGGGCAGCAGUGGGGAAUAUUGCACAAUGGGGGAAACCCUGAUGCAGCAACGCCGCGUGAAGGAAGACGGUUUUCGGAUUGUAAACUUCUGUUCUUAGUGAAGAAGAAUGACGGUAGCUAAGGAGCAAGCCACGGCUAACUACGUGCCAGCAGCCGCGGUAAUACGUAGGUGGCAAGCGUUGUCCGGAAUUACUGGGUGUAAAGGGGGCGCAGGCGGGAAGCCAAGUCAGCUGUGAAAACUACGGGCUUAACUUGUAGACUGCAGUUGAAACUGGCUUUCUUGAGUGAAGUAGAGGUU
rnacentral:rRNA from 1 species